UCUCUGUUAACCUGCAUGCCUGGGCACAAAGGAAUAUGUCAUGUCAUACAGGCUCACUGUUCAACCACACUUAUUGCCUUGUAAUUCUGAAUAUUUCUGUGAUUUGAGAAGACUCUGAUCAGUAAGAAGGAAUUUGGAAAUGUGUUGACACAUUUGUGUGAUGGCACUCACAAUGUUGAGAUGACACUAUGAUACAAACAUAAGUUCAAGCCAGACGGAAGCCCUGGAGGAUGCUAAUGCAGCACUGCAAUAUGCUAAGUUUCAGGAGAGCUGCUUAGUGAGUCCAUUGAAAAUCUCACUCCUGAUGAAGAGAGGAUUUGUGUUUACAGAACAGAAAGUAAGUCACGACCAGUAGUUAAAAAGUAUCUGAUAGUUUUGCCCUUCUUGAUUACUGCAGACACAUUUGCCCUACAAUAGGCAGG